AGGCUAUGUGGGUGGGGUGAUGAGGUAAUGACUGUGAGACACGCUUCUCUCCAGAGGGUCUUGGUUGGUGCCCAGUGCUCUGUCCUCACUUCUGUGAAGCCCUUGUGGUUGGGUGGGAAAGAGAGACCUAAAUGUGGCAAUGGAGUGACAGGCUGGAGCGAGAAUGGCAGCCCAGGCAGGUGCUGCACUAAGGAUGCACUGGGCUUCCUAGCUCACGGGCCAGUUAACCCUUUGUGGGCAUUGGACUGUAUGUACAGCCCAUCAGGGGAAGAGCAUAGGCCACAUCAGCAGCUCAGGCUUGGGACCUUGCACUCUGUCUUGAGGUGAUGCCCAGGACUGCUACAGACUCAGCUGUAUAGGGUCAGCGGUACUUACACAGCAGUGUUGAUGUCCCUUGCCCACUGCAGCACUAGGGGUGGUCACUUAAAUGAGGAUGUUUUUUGCCUCAGCCUCAGGCUGCUAGCCUGUCAUGGUGGGUUUGAGGGCUGCAGCAGGGCUCCAGCCUACUCAGGCUCCCGUAGCCCCACUCUGUCCAGCCCAGGCAGUUAGUCAGAACAACCAACACCUGUGUGCUGAUCAGUGCAUUCCACAAAGCCCUUGGUCUGCCUGUCAUGUUGUGACCCACGCCUGCCAUGGCACAGGCUUCUUCUGUUCCAGAUGGAUGACCUAGCUGUGGUCACAGUGAGCCUCCCAAGUCCCCUUGCUCUAGUAGCUGGACAGUGUGGCUGUCCAUUAUGUACAGUCCACGCACUAUUGCAUGGACCGUGUGGAUAGCUCAACCUGUGUACCAUGUGCUGCCCAGUGAUGGUGUCUCGAUCAGUAACGUCCCAGCACACGGAAGCUGCUGGGGCAUAGGCCCGCCCUCCAUGACUACCGGGCCUCCAUUAGUCCAGUGUGCUUGUUCUCAGAGAAAAAAAAAAAAUAAAUGCUAGGACAGGAAACUGG
rnacentral:lncRNA from 1 species